ACGUUCAGGUAAUCGCUGCAGUCUUUAGGGCUGUAGAGGAAAGUCCAUGCUCGCACGGUGCUGAGAUGCCCGUAGUGUUCGUGCCUAGCGAAGUCAUAAGCUAGGGCAGCCAAAGAUUUUGGCUGACGGCAGGGAACAAGCCUAAGUCCCAUCCGGGAUAUGGCUCUAAUACCUUGAAAGUGCCACAGUGACGUAGUCUUUCGGGAAACUGAAAGAGUGGAACGCGGUAAACCCCUCGAGCGAGAAACCCAAAUAUAGGUAGGGGCACCUUCUCUUAGGAAUUGAACAAGGAGAAGGCCGGAAGCGAUUCGCUUCUGUAGAUAGAUGAUUACCACCGGAGUACGAGGUGAUACCGGCCGUUUGCAGUACAAAGGGACAAAACAUGGCUUACAGAA
rnacentral:RNase_P_RNA from 3 species